rnacentral:lncRNA from 1 species
AGAGUUCCUCAGAAACUUAGGCGGUGGCGCUGUGAGCACGAACAGGGAGCAAAGCGGGAGGGCAGCGAUGGCGAAGGGGAACUCCGGCGGGGCUCCGGCAUUCCCUUUUAUAGCUGCGCGGAAGAGAGAAGGUUGGAGCGGCGCAAGGACCGGGGAAGAAACGAUGGAGUGCGCUGCCGAGGCGGCGAUUGAGCAAUGAGGGCGGUGGAACAGGACUUCGGGGAUGACACUGGCGGUCAUUGGGCACCAGAGGCGGGGCGGUGCAGGCGCGGUUUUGCCGAUGGUUGAGAUUUGGCGAAGACGGGCGUCGUCGUGCGGUGGAUUUGAUGGAAGUGACCAGGGAAACGGCGCUAGAAACGAGGGCGCACAGGUGAGAAGACAGGCGGCUGCGGUCGCGCGAGCGAGCGCGGAGCAACAGAUUGUCGGGGGCGGAGCUCUGACAGGGUGGGAAAGGAGCUGUCGCGGUCGUGGUCUGGGUUGGCGGAGGAGGAAUCGUCACGUAGCGCGGACCGGGGCGGCGCGACUGUGGUAAAACCCGACCCGUGAAAACCUGACCCUAAACUGCCGGUUCUUCUAAGUUCAAAGGCAGUUUUUCCUUUCCAUCUUGAAGCAGAGGAGGAACCGAUACUGACUGGUGGACUCGCAAAUCUUUUCCCCGGAUCUCCCGAGGCAGACGCGCCCAAACAGCAUGCGCCCGCUUCAGAGCUUUUCAGCCGUGUGGCUCGAUCUCUCCGACGCCCGCCGCCUCGCCCAGUCGCCGGUCGUGACAGGAUGAAGCCCCUCUGCAACCCUUUCUGCCUCGCCUCGUCUUGCUCGCGCCCUCGCCGGCUGCGCCAUGGUGCCCCGUCGCUGCCGUGGCAAAGCUUUGCCGCUACUGC